UUCUUCUCGGUGUUUGGCACCGGAAAAUUUGAGUUUCCUGGAGAACUUUGUUCAGAAGAAG
rnacentral:tRNA from 1 species